CCAAAAGCCCACCAUCGGUGACGGGCUGGCACAUUAUAAUCGAGCCCAUGAACAGACUGACCGGCCCACCUAAACGCUCUCUCUCUCGUCCAUCCCCGCGACCCAUUUCGUUCGUCGGGGCCUCUCCCCCCCGUCGCUCUCUGCCCUCCACCACCAUUCCACCUCCGGACUUCACCUCUCGUACUUCCCCGUCGGAACAUGGGAUCGAAGGCCUCCCCGAUGGAUCCAUUCGAAAUUCGGGAUAACUCGAAGAAAUCCAAUAAGCCCAAAUAUUCUAAGUUUACACAGCAGGAGCUUCCAGCAUGCAAACCACUGCUAACUCCAGCAAUUGUCAUUUCUGCCUUCUUACUGGUUGGCAUCCUAUUUGUCCCAAUUGGUCUUGCAUCGUUUUCUGCAUCACAAGAGAUUGUGGAGCUGAUAGAUAGAUAUGAUACAAAUUGUGGGCCCAUGACUGAUAAGGUUGGGUACAUUCAGGACUCUAAGACUAAUAAAUCAUGCACAAGAACUCUAACUGUGCCUAAGCAUAUGAAGAGCCCAAUUCAAAUAUAUUACCAGAUUGGUGACUUCUAUCAGAACCAUCGACGGUACGUGAAAAGUCGUAGUGAUAAACAAUUGCUGUAUAAGGAUGCUGCACACUUGACAAAAGAUUGUGAUCCUGAAGGUUAUAGUGCUGAUGGUGCUCCAAUCGUUCCAUGUGGCCUAGUGGCUUGGAGUUUGUUCAAUGAUACAUAUACAAUUUCAGUCAACAAGAAAGCGAUUGAAGUGAAUAAAAAAGAUAUAGCUUGGCAGAGUGACAAGAACAAAAAAUUUGGCAAUGAUGUUUAUCCCAGGAACUUUCAGAAUGGAAAUCUCAUAGGUGGUGCUAGGCUAAAUGCGAGCAUACCGGUACAUUUCUCUCUAUCUUCAAACAUUGAGCAAGAAGAUCUCAUUGUUUGGAUGAGAACUGCUGCCCUUCCAACUUUCAGAAAGCUUUAUGGCAGAAUUGAGACAGAUAUUAUGGCAAACGAUCAAAUAACUGUUGUUAUACAGAACAACUAUAACACAUAUAGUUUUGGAGGGUCUAAAGCAUUGGUCCUUUCAACUACAUCUUGGAUUGGAGGCAAAAAUAAAUUCAUUGGUGUUGCAUAUCUGAUUGUAGGUGGUUUGUGCCUUUUUCUUGCACUGGUUUUCGUAGUUCUCUACAUGUUUAAGCCGAGGACUCUUGGAGACCCCUCAUUCUUGUCAUGGAACAGAUAUACUCUGGACUAUCCAAACUAAUACGCUGGAAUCUGUUCUUUAUGAACAUAGAAGAGCACUUACAUGGGGCAGGGUUAUAGGCUCCAUGGGUGCGGACAUGCUCCUGGUGCACAUUUCAGGGCCAAUCUCAGUGACCCCUUCUUCCUGUGUAAUUAUAAUUCCGCUGAUCAGCAACCUUGUUCUGAAGAUGUCGUUAAUUCAUUAAAUGAAAGGAAAAAGAUUUUCUGGCAGGAGGAUCCAUUGGCCAUUGGACUAUGCUGCAGAGUCUCAGUUUGUGUCUCGCGUUGCUCACCUCAAAGAAUGACACUGCAGAUAAAGGUGGAAACAGUAUUACUCCGAUCCGGUACGGAUUUAUGUACAAAAAAAAAGAGAGCAAAAGUGCUUGGCAACAAAAUGGAGUUGUCAUGGACUAUCCAUUCAGUUCAAGGAAAGAAAGCAGAAGGAAAAAGAGUGAGGUUUCAUAACCUUGUUUCUUUUCAAAAAGAAAACUGAUAUAUUUAUCUCGGUGCUAACUGAACGAAACUGAUGAUGAAGUGAAUAUUUCAGAUGAGAAAAGUUCAGAAAUGCCAUUGCUGCAUAUCUUUGGAU